GCCAGUGGCGUCGGUGGCACGAUUUGCCCAGCUUUCUAAGGAGGCGGAACUGGACAGAGCUCCUGGACCAGGCAAAUAGGAGCAAAGUUUUCGAGGCAUUUAUGGAGACGCCCCAGCCACAGAGCCCACAGACGAUCAGAGACACUGGACUCACACCACGGAGGGUCGGAACUCUUCUGCUGUGAAUCCUACCCAAAGAACAGAAGAGGAAGGGAAAACCUGAAGGUGCUGUGGGUCUCCCGGAGCUAAUUUUUUCCGGACUUGAGAUGCCUCAGGUCACUGCAACUAAGGGCGAAGUAAUCGGGGUGAGACCUCCAGCCGGAAGGACUAGAGAAGGGGUCCCUGGCGCCCCUCGACCGGCCGUCCGCCCCUGCUGUGACCCCACGCUUUCUCGGAGCCGGAUUCAUGUAUAUCUGUGGCUGCUUUGAGCGUCUCCAGGCCAGCGGCUCGUACAGCCAAGCGUGCAUAAGAAUAAGAGGGAUACUUAGGUCAGAGAGACUUGGGCGCCUCUGACAAACAGUCCUGCACCAUUCUGCUACGAUUGCUCAGGCGGUGUUUUGAGCCCGAUCCUCUUUGGUGUUUUGGCAACCCACGGCGGCUAUUGGCAUGCUGCUGCUUUGCAGUACAAGCCAGAAAGCCAAGCCGACUCCCAGAGCCUGCAGAGGGUACAUUACACUCAGGAGCUACUUAGAGUGAGGGCUGGUGCUCCAGGCUUGUGCUUGUUAGCCAGUGAGCGCUCCUUGGGAGCCUGCUGAGCCAGGCGCCUGCUCUGGACCUAGGGUUGACCUAACCUUUGGGCAAGUGGAAGGUAGCAUGGACAGUGGCAGUUGUCACUAGGAACCCACAUUUACCAAAGUCAGCGUCUUGGGUCCAGGCAUCUUUCAUAAAACCGGUUGAGUUCACAGAAUUGUUUGGACUGGUUUUUAACACUGGACAAAAGGCAAUUUUAAAUGAUAAAAAAGGGAGUUUAAGG
ensembl:antisense Atad3aos ATPase family, AAA domain containing 3A, opposite strand